UUCCCGCUGCCAGCGUCACUUUCUAAGCCGGUCGGCAGCAAGCCUCCACUUCUCAUUUUUCAUCUCAUUCUCUGACUCGCCUAAACUUCUCCAAAAUGAGCUACAGAAGAUCCACCAUGCAGCAGCAGAUACCUUCUACCCACAUCUCCAUGACCCGUUCUGCACCCCGUGCUAUCAGCGUUUACGGGGGUGCCGGUGGAUAUGGUGCCCGCAUCUCCUCUGCCUCCGCAUCUUCCCUGCGCUCUGGUGCCCCGAUGACCUCUUCUUUAAGUGCCUUCAAGCUGAGCAGUGGAAUGGUUGGAGGUAUGAGCUCUGGUUUUGGUGGUGCUGGUGCAUCCGUGGCAGCUGGUGGUGGUGCCAGUGCUGGGAUCCUGGGCAAUGAGAAGGGAGCCAUGCAAAACCUCAAUGACCGCCUGGCCAACUACCUGGAGACAGUGAGGAACCUGGAACAGGCCAACAAGGAGCUGGAGAUGAAGAUCAGGGAUGCUCUGGAGAAAGGCGGGCCCGACAUGAGAGACUACAGCAAGUAUGAACCCAUCAUCGACGACCUACGCAAACAGAUAUUUGAUAAGAUAGUGGAGAAUGCUCGUUAUGUGCUCCAGAUCGACAACGCCCGUCUUGCUGCUGACGACUUCAAAGUGAAGUUCGACAAUGAGAUGGCAAUCCGCCAGUCUGUGGAGGCCGACAUUGCUGGCCUGAAGAAAGUCAUCGAUGACACCAACAUGAGCAGGAUGAACAUCGAGAGCGAGAUUGAAGCUGUGAGGGAGGAGCUCGCCUUCCUGAAGAAGAACCAUGAGAAUGAGGUGAUGGAGCUGAGGAAUCAGAUCUCCCAGUCUGGUGUGCAAGUGGAUGUAGACGCCCCCAAAGGUCAGGACCUGGCCCAGAUCAUGGAGGACAUGAGGUCCAACUAUGAAAAAAGUGCUUUGAAGAAUGCAGAAGACCUCAAGCGAUGGCACGAAAAUCAGAUUACAGAGGUACAGGCGCAGGUAUCACAGAACACAGAAGCUCUGCAGGGGGCCCAGAUGGAGAAGAGUGACUUAGGCAGACAGAUACAGACCCUGGAAAUUGAACUCGCAUCACAACAGAGCUUAAAAGCCUCCUUAGAGGACACACUACACAACACAGAGCUACGAAACAACAUGGAAAUGGAGAAGUACAACACCCUUAUUAUUCGCCUGGAGGAGGAGCUGACCAACUUGCGUGCAAACAUCCACCAGCAGACCCAGGACUACGAGGCACUCCUCAACAUGAAGAUGAAGCUGGAGGCAGAGAUUGGCACUUAUAAGAGUCUGCUGGAUGGUGGAGACUUCAAGUAAGAGUUAUAAAAGGUGGAGGAGAAAAAACAGAUCGAGGCAAGGUGAUGAUGGUGGUGGAGGCUCCAGGAUGCACUAGAUGAGCUGGCGGCCACAAGCUAAUUUGGAACAAAGGAUCUGGGACCAUCCCAAGGAUGAAAGCAAAGAAACCCACAAAUAUUACAAUUACAGAAAAAAAAUGUCCUGCUGGUCCAAUCAACUGAAGCCAUUUUUUGUACCAAGACCACAUACUGUGUAAACCAUAAAUGAUUAAAGCAAUUCUGAAUAAAGGCAUUCUUCCACACCACAAUGAAACAGGCAAGGCUGUUUCAAAAGCAACCACUGCCUGACCUGGCAGCAAAAUAAAAAUGAAUAAAACCA